rnacentral:rRNA from 1 species
UACAGAGGGUGCGAGCGUUAAUCGGCAUUACUGGGCGUAAAGCGUGCGUAGACGGCUAUCUAAGUCGGGUGUGAAAGCCCCGGGCUCAACCUGGGAAUUGCAUUCGAGACUGAAUAGCUAGGGUACGGUAGAGGGAAGUGGAAUUUCCGGUGUAGCGGUGAAAUGCGUAGAUAUCGGGAAGAACAUCGGUGGCGAAGGCGGCCUGCUGGGCUGUUGCUGACGCUGAGGCGCGACAGCGUGGGGAGCAAACAGG